ensembl:lncRNA
CUGCAAUAUCUAAGAUUAUUUAAUUCUGCUACAGAAAAUAAGCAAAACCCAGUAUAGAAGCAAGUAGCUUGCCUUAGACUGAAUGUUUGUGUUCCCUCAAAAUUCCUAUGUUGAAACCCUAACCCCCCAUGGCAUGGUAUCGGAAGGUGGGGCCUUUGAGAGGAGAUGAGGUCAUGUGGGUGGAGCCCUCAAGAAUGGGAUUCAUGCCCUUAUAAAAGCGACCGCAGAGAGCUCCGCUGCUCCUCUGCCAUGUGAGGUUACGAUGAGAAGAUGGCCAUCUGUGAACCAGGAAGCAGCUCCUCACCAGACACUGGACCUGCUGGCACCUUGACCUUGGACUUCCAGCCGCCAGACUGAUGCAACAAGAAUGUUACUUAUAUACAGAAAAGGAUGGAAGGAGCAAGUCAUAAGGAAGAUUAACCUUGAGCUAACAUCUGUGCCCAUCUUCCUCUAUCGUGCAUGUGGGACGCCUGCCACAGCAUGGCUUGGAGCCUGAGACAGCCUCCCAGUGCUUCUGAGCAUUGCCACUGCCAGAGGGGAAGCUCCCCAGUCAGCUGAUCCAAGAAGCCUCGCCAAUAGCUCCAUGCAAAACGGAUCAUUCCUGUUCCAGUUGAGAGUAAUGAGCAAGGCAUCCUCUCUGUUCAGGAAGAGGAGUCCACAGGCCCUUUCUUUCCAGCACCACCGUGAUUAAUUCAUUAAUGAUUCUUCAGACAAGUUUUAUUCCGGCACUUUGGGACAGGGCAGUGAGUCAGAGGUUGGCAUCAAAACCAGAAUAGAAGCCAUAAUCCUCUCGGGGGAUCCUACUCUGGGCUUUAAAUUCCCAGAUCACACAACUUCCUAAUUGGAAAGAAAUGUUCUUAAACAAGACCAUGGGUUCGCCAGGCCUGACAGUGACUAAUAAGGUCGGUCUAAGGACUGUCUGAUGAAAGGGAAGCUGGAUUUACAUGUCACAGUGAAUUUUUAAAGUAGUUCCACCCGGAGGUUUACUGCUGAAUAUAAAUAAAAUCUCUCUCCUUGGGCAAUCCUCUCCCGACUCCUGCAGACAUGCCUUGUUAAUUAAAUUAACUUUGAAAUGACAUUCAAACAAUGUCUUCCUUCCAAACGCCUUUGUUUUCUCCAGGAUCUACUUAUUGACAAGCUGUUUCCUAAGGUUCCUGUGUAAACUGAGUACAUUUCCCACCUGCAGCCUGCAUACUAAUUGGAGACAAGUUUUAUCAUCUCUAUAGUUGGUAUUGGGGAGCUCUCACAUCGUAGUCAUUUCACUGUGUACCAAAUGGCCCACACACUUACAAUACCGAUAAACAAAAUUAUCUAGGGUGUUUACAUAGAAUCCGGAUAAACACAAAAUUUAAAUCUCGUUUGCUGAAAUUUACACAUCUGAAGGCUAAUCCCUGUGUUGAGGAGAGGAUUUUUUUGUUGUUGUUAGUCUCUUUCAAAAAUCAGGCUUUCGCGUUCGUAAUUACAGCAGCUCUUGCCUUAAAAACAUUAAUUCCAAAGCGGCGGCUCCCGUCCGGGGUGCGGGCGCGCAGGCGCGGACACGCACACGUGGACACACACACACUCACACGCGCCCGCCCACACCCUCUUCCGUGUGACUCGCUUGCGGGAUUUACGGGCUUCGCCGCCGCGGAUUACUGUCAGGUGCAGAAAGCAAGUCUUUGUUCGGCGGGCAUUUUCCUCCCCCCGGAUUUGACUGUUAUUUACCGGCCACGUGAGCGCUGGGCGGGGGUCGGGCCGGCGGGGAGGCGCCCCAGG